rnacentral:snoRNA from 1 species
UCGCAUUGAAAAGGGACGAUGCUUCUCAAUGAAAGUUUUCGUAUAAUUUCGGUGCAAGAUUAUAGAGACUCGCAGUGUUACUCUUCUUUACAUGCUCUGUAUCUGAAGAGUGUCAAGCGAUUCCCACAUUU